UGGCAGCGAUGACACUGCGCAGGCCCGCGG
rnacentral:sRNA from 1 species